CAGCAGCCGCGGUAAUACGGAGGGUGCAAGCGUUAAUCGGAAUUACUGGGUGUAAAGCGUGCGUAGGCGGUUCGUUAAGUCUGUUGUGAAAGCCCCGGGCUCAACCUGGGAAUGGCAAUGGAUACUGGCGAGCUAGAGUGUGUCAGAGGAUGGUGGAAUUCCCGGUGUAGCGGUGAAAUGCGUAGAGAUCGGGAGGAACAUCAGUGGCGAAGGCGGCCAUCUGGGACAACACUGACGCUGAGGCACGAAAGCGUGGGGAGCAAACAGGAUUAGAGACCCCGGUAGUCCCUGUCUCUUAUAC
rnacentral:rRNA from 1 species